AUUGAACGCUGGCGGCAGGCCUAACACAUGCAAGUCGAACGAGUGGCGGACGGGUGAGUAAUGUCUGGGAAACUGCCCGAUGGAGGGGGAUAACUACUGGAAACGGUAGCUAAUACCGCAUACCAUCGGAUGUGCCCAGAUGGGAUUAGCUAGUAGGUGGGGUAAAGGCUCACCUAGGCGACGAUCCCUAGCUGGUCUGAGAGGAUGACCAGCCACACUGGGACUGAGACACGGCCCAGACUCCUACGGGAGGCAGCAGUGGGGAAUAUUUGACAAUGGGCGCAAGCCUGAUGCAGCCAUGCCGCGUGUAUGAAGAAGGCCUUCGGGUUGUAAAGUACUUUCAGCGGGGAGGCGUUACCCGCAGAAGAAGCACCGGCUAACUCCGUGCCAGCAGCCGCGGUAAUUC
rnacentral:rRNA from 1 species